rnacentral:rRNA from 1 species
GACGAACGCUGGCGGCGUGCUUAACACAUGCAAGUCGAACGGAAAGGCCCUGCUUUUGUGGGGUGCUCGAGUGGCGAACGGGUGAGUAACACGUGAGUAACCUGCCCUUGACUUUGGGAUAACUUCAGGAAACUGGGGCUAAUACCGGAUAGGAGCUCCUGAUGCAUGGUGGGGGUUGGAAAGUUUCGGCGGUUGGGGAUGGACUCGCGGCUUAUCAGCUUGUUGGUGGGGGAGUGGCUUACCAAGGCUUUGACGGGUAGCCGGCAUGAGAGGGUGACCGGCCACAUUGGGACUGAGAUACGGCCCAGACUCCUACGGGAGGCAGCAGUGGGGAAUAUUGCACAAUGGGCGGAAGCCUGAUGCAGCAACGCCGCGUGCGGGAUGACGGCCUGCGGGUUGUAAACCGCUUUCGCCUGUGACGAAGCGUGAGUGACGGUAAUGGGUAAAGAAGCACCGGCUAACUACGUG